GUACAUUUUACCACAUAUUUAAAAUGUACGAGCAAGAAUUUUUAUCAUCCAAGUGUCGCAGAAUGGCAGCGUGAUUGGCUGACCCGUGACCUGAAGAAUCCUUGUUCAACGGCUGACCAUCGAAGGGCCUAGUCGCUUGAGUCUGGACGGGCAGAAAAGAUAAUGUGCGUAUUAUUGUCUGAAAUGGAGAAUCUAAUAUCAUUAUACAUCAUAUCAUAUCAUCAUACAUCAUACAUCAUACAUCAUCAUACCUAGUAUUACAGUUCGAAACCAAAGUUUGGAUGCUCGGAUGUUCAGAAAAUGACGUCACCCAAAUAUUUUUUUCCCUCGGCGUUAUCGAUCUAUAGCAAUCGUCGACCGCCAAAAUUUCUCAGUCUAGUGACAACCGCGCAGUAGAGCGGACGGAUGAGAAUCGCGCUCCGCAGAUUUCGAGUACCGGGUCCUCUACCUCCUCGAUCCUGCGCUCCGGGUCCGCUACCAGGUGGAACUAGACUUCCAGGACAAGCGCUCCGUAGCUCAUUUGAUAGUAUUUUCUGAUGAUCUUUUUGUAUUCGAGGUAUAACUUGAGGUUGUUAGCGGUGGUCGUUGGAGGUGGUUAGGGGUGGUAGCGGGUGAUCAAGGUGGACAAGGAGGAGAACGAGGAGGACGAAGAUUUGUGCACGGAAUCGAGGUAUAACCCGCGGUGGUAAGCGGUGGUCGUUGGAGUCGGUUGGCGGUGGUUGGAGGUGGUCGGAGGUGGACGAGGAGGAGGACGAGGAAGACUAGGAGAAGAAGGUGGCUGAGGAUUUGUGCUCGGU